rnacentral:rRNA from 1 species
UACGUAGGGUGCGAGCGUUGUCCGGAAUUAUUGGGCGUAAAGGGCUCGUAGGCGGUUUGUCGCGUCGGGAGUGAAAACCAUGGGCUUAACUCAUGGCUUGCUUCCGAUACGGGCAGACUAGAGGUAUGCAGGGGAGAACGGAAUUCCUGGUGUAGCGGUGAAAUGCGCAGAUAUCAGGAGGAACACCGGUGGCGAAGGCGGCUCUCUGGGCAUUACCUGACGCUGAGGAGCGAAAGUGUGGGGAGCGAACAGG